GAUGAACGCUAGCGACAGGCCUAACACAUGCAAGUCGAGGGGCAGCACGGUGUAGCAAUACACGGGUGGCGACCGGCGCACGGGUGAGUAACGCGUAUGCAACCUACCUACUACAAGGGGAUAACCCGUUGAAAGACGGACUAAUACCCCAUAACACAGGGGAUCCGCAUGGAUAUAUUUGUUAAAGAUUAAUCGGUAGUAGAUGGGCAUGCGUUCCAUUAGCUUGUUGGUGAGGUAACGGCUCACCAAGGCAACGAUGGAUAGGGGAACUGAGAGGUUGAUCCCCCACACUGGAACUGAGACACGGUCCAGACUCCUACGGGAGGCAGCAGUGAGGAAUAUUGGUCAAUGGACGAGAGUCUGAACCAGCCAAGUCGCGUGAAGGAAGACGGCCCUACGGGUUGUAAACUUCUUUUGUAAGGGAAUAAAAAGUCUUACGAGAUAAGACGUUGCAGGUACCUUACGAAUAAGGAUCGGCUAACUCCGUGCCAGCAGCCGCGGUAAUACGGAGGAUCCGAGCGUUAUCCGGAUUUAUUGGGUUUAAAGGGUGCGCAGGCGGCAUGUUAAGUCGGCGGUGAAAUUUUGCAGCUCAACUGUAAAAGAGCCUUCGAAACUGGCAAGCUUGAGUGUGGAUGAAGUAGGCGGAAUUUGUGGUGUAGCGGUGAAAUGCAUAGAUAUCACAAAGAACACCGAUUGCGCAGGCAGCUUACUAAACCAUAACUGACGCUCAUGCACGAAGGCGUGGGGAUCAAACAGGAUUAGAUACCCUGGUAGUCCACGCAGUAAACGAUGAUUACUGGCUGUUUGCGAUACAAUGUAAGCGGCUGAGCGAAAGCGUUAAGUAAUCCACCUGGGGAGUACGUUCGCAAGAUGAACUCAA
rnacentral:rRNA from 1 species